AGAGGGGUGUUCUCUUCCUUCUACUCUUACCACUUUGGAACUCAAUUCCUUUGGUAACUUGGAGACAUUGAAUUGCACAGGACUUCAGCACCUAACCUCUUUGCAAUGUCUAAAUAUCAAAUCUUGUCCCAAGCUGGAGAAAAUGUUAGGAGAAAAGCUGCCUGUUUCUUUAAAAAAGCUUCACAUUCAGGAUUGUUUGUUGCUUGAAGAAAAAUACCGCAACAGGGAUGAACAGCUUUUGCGUCAGAUAUCCCACAUCCCACUGAUCAAUUCAUCUGAGAUAUGAGAUGCAAUAUAAUCAUCCACGAGAGAUGUAGACCCCACGAAGCUUAUAUCAAUAGCUCUUCUAAGACCUUCUUCAAAAUGUUUUGUGGCUCAUACAAUAUUCAAUCAUGUAAUGAGAAAAUAUUUGCAAAUUGUAACCGUAAAGGGAGAAUCCAACAUGGUUUGCUUGUUCUAAUUUAUAAAGGAAAUACAGUGCUUCUUCUUCAGAAAGUAUAAUGCUCAAAUCAAGAUCCUUCAUAUAUUCCUAUUCUCUAGAGGUUUGAAGUGAACUAAAGCUUUUGAUUUCUUCUUUCUCUCUUAAUUGCUUGUUUCGUUAAU